rnacentral:rRNA from 1 species
GUGGGGAAUAUUGGGCAAUGGGCGCAAGCCUGACCCAGCAACGCCGCGUGAAGGAAGAAGGCUUUCGGGUUGUAAACUUCUUUUGUCAGGGAAGAGCAGAAGACGGUACCUGACGAAUAAGCCACGGCUAACUACGUGCCAGCAGCCGCGGUAAUACGUAGGUGGCAAGCGUUGUCCGGAUUUACUGGGUGUAAAGGGCGUGUAGCCGGGCUGACAAGUCAGAUGUGAAAUCCGGGGGCUCAACCCCCGAACUGCAUUUGAAACUGUUGGUCUUGAGUAUCGGAGAGGCAGGCGGAAUUCCUAGUGUAGCGGUGAAAUGCGUAGAUAUUAGGAGGAACACCAGUGGCGAAGGCGGCCUGCUGGACGACAACUGACGGUGAGGCGCGAAAGCGUGGGGAGCAAACAGG